CCCGGGCAGGUGGAGGUCGUUAGCCGUGGUAGGCAAUCUGCCUAGGAGAGCAAACUCUAUACAAACCCGGGCAGGUGAGGCUCGUUAGCCGUGGUAGGCAAUUCACCUAGGAGAGCAAACUCUAUACAAACCCGGGCAGGUGGAGGUCGUUAGCCGUGGGAGGCAAUUCACCUAGGAGAGCAAACUCUAUACAAACCCGGGCAGGUGGAGGUCGUUAGCCGUGGUAGGCAAUUCACCUAGGAGAGCAAACUCCGAACAAUAAACCCGGGCAGGUGGAGGUCGUUAGCCGUGGGAGGCAAUUCACCUAGGAGAGCAAACUCUAAACAAACCCGGGCAGGUGAGGCUCGUUAGCCGUGGUAGGCAGUUCACCUAGGAGAGCAAACUCCGAACAACAAACCCGGGCAGGUGGAGGUCGUCAGCCGUGGUAGGCAAUCUUCCUAGGAGAGCAAACUCCGAACAACAAACCCGGGCAGGUGGAGCUCGUCAGCCGUGGUAGGCAGUCUGCCUAGGAGAGCAAACUCCGAACAAUAAACCCGGGCAGGUGGAGGUCGUCAGCCGUGGUAGGCAAUCUUCCUAGGAGAGCAAACUCCGAACAAUAAACCCGGGCAGGUGGAGCUCGUCAGCCGUGGUAGGCAGUCUGCCUAGGAGAGCAAACUCUAAACAAACCCGGGCAGGUGGAGGUCGUCAGCCGUGGUAGGCAAUCUGCCUAGGAGAGCAAACUCUAAAUAAACCCGGGCUUGUGGUGCUCGUUAUACUGUCGUAGACAAUCCACGCGAUGGGAACACCAAAGAAAAGGAAAAUAAAAAAGAACACCAGAAAAUGGAAAAUACAGAAACGAAACAUCAAGAAAAGAAACAAAAAGAUCAUCCACCUUUAGGCCCUAACAUCGCCAAAAUUAUGGAUGGGUCUCUUCUGGGGAGAAAGCGGCUCACCCAGACCAAAGAACAUCAACAAGGGAUGAUAUAGAAAAGAACACCAAAAAAAUAUGGAAAAAGAACAGAAAAAACAUCGAAAAAGAAAAGCAACAGAAAUAAAUGAGCAACAUCGAGAAAAGAGAAAUACAAAGAAACAUCAUCCACCUUUCGGCCCCAAACAACAUCACCAAAAUUAUGGAUGGGUCUCUUCUGGGAGGAAAGCGGCUCAUCCAGACCAAGGAACAUCAACAAAAGGAUGAUGGGAAAAAAAUAACAACAAAAAACAUCAAAAAGAAGUAAAAAGAAAAAGAACAGGAAAACAUCGAAAAAGAAAACAAAAGCAAUAAAAAGAACGAAAAACACGACAUCAAGAAAAUAAAAUAAAACAAACAUCAUCCACCUUUCGG